rfam:Lactobacillus acetotolerans DNA, complete genome, strain: NBRC 13120.
UGUUGUCUUCAUGGCAGGGUGUAAGUCCCGACCGGUGGUGAAAGUCCGCGACCCACGAAAGUGGCUGAAUCGAUUACGAUACCGAUAGUUAAAGUCUAGAUGAAAGAAGACAGAC